CUCCAUAAUAAUCUGUGCUACUUGUAUUAAAACAAGAAAGAAUGAGUUAAGAAGGUUCAAGGAAAGUUAAUCGAGUUAGUAAGAAUAUCGUUAUAUUUACAUGGUUUCCUUAAGUAUCCCAAGGCGACACGGUUACCUAAAGGGUGUGGAAUCGCGCUAUGAGUAUGUAUAUGAAGUAAUGCGAGUGACCUUUUAAAGUAUUUGAGAUUAUUAGUAAUGAUAUAGAGGGUGGACAAAAGAUAUGAAUAUACUUUUGCGAUUGGAGUUUCGUCAAAGUUUUGUGAGUUCUCUAGUUAUGUUUAAGGUUAUUGUGAGUCUCUGGGCCCUUCGAGAUGUGUAUAUGGAUUUUUAUUGAUGUAUAUAAGUGUGUAUAUGUAUGCAUAAGAGGUUACAUAAGGUUGGAAGAGGAUUAGAAGUUAAACGAAAUGAAUCGGAACAACUUCAGUAAAAUUUCGGACCCGAUUUUAGUCUAUAUUGUAGGAGGCAUAUCUCCUUGAAUAUGAGGAGUUUUAAGGUGUUUCAAAAGCCUAAAAUGAAGUUCAUCGAGUCUAGUUUGUAAUGCAACAAACCGCUCGUCAAAAUGAUAUCGGGAUAAGGAGAUAUGGACGAUGCAAGUUGGGCUGGCAGGGCAGCAAGUUUGGACCCGACCCAAACACUCACAUUUCGGCCCAUGAGGCCCAUUAAACUCAAUAGAUAAGUCACCACUUUGCCCUAUAUCAUUUCACACGACCUAAAACAGAUCCAAAACCCUUAUUUUCUCUCCCAAACCCCCUUUCUAAUUGAGCCAUCAUAUAAGCUAAAUCCUAGACCCUUGACAUGAUAUUAGUUAAAGAGAAGUUGUAGCCUAAGUUUUUUUUUGUGUUGUUAAGCAAGCAGCUGGAAAGAGGAACAAGAUUCUUGAAGUUUCUGAUUGCUAAAGGUAAUUUCAACCUCCCACUCAUGUUAUCAAUUUGGAUUAAAGGUUUAAUAUGGUGUAUACGUGAAGGAAACGUUGAUAUACAAGCUAGAGAGAGAGAGAGAGCAUAAGCCAUGGCAUUCGGCCAUGGCUAGCAAAAUUGGAGCUCAAAUUUGUUGAUCCAAAAAUCAGAUUUUCUAGGUAUUUCAGCCCUUAGGAAGGUGAUAAUAACGUGGAGAAUUCAUUUGGAGCAACAAGAACAAGUAUUAGUUCAUUUCACAAAUUCUAGCUAAGUGGAAAAAGCCAACUUGUUAAGGUAAGAGUUGAUCAUUUUUCUAUGUGUUUGAUGAUGAAGUUGGACGUGUGGGGAAUAUGCAAAUGUAAAUUGUAUGUGUGAAAUUAUGUAUCUUGAUGUUGAAGCAUAGUUGUAACUUGGUAAGAUGAAUUGCACGAAUGUUGGAAUGUUGUUGAAAUGUUGUUGAAUGCCGUAGGGGCUGUUUUUAAUUGAAAUUUGAUGGGCUGAUUUGAAUUAAUAUUUUGGUUGUUGUAAUCAUAGAUUAUGUGAUGAGAAUGAAGGAAUUUAAUGGUUAGAGUUGGAGUUAAAAUUGUUGUGGGUUGUUGUAAGGAUUAUAGAGAUAAUAAUGUGAUUUACUUACAUAUGGAUAGAUGAUGUGGUGUCGUGUGGCUGCUGUUGUAUUUCCCUGAAAUUUGCUGAAAAGAUGGCAUGAAAUAAGUCAUAAGAAGUGUAUAUGGGCUGCUUGGUAUGUUGUAAGUGUUCGUUAGAAUUUCGGGCAUCGUUAUGUUAUAGUUUAGGGGCUGUUUUCGGCCCAAUUUGGAGAAAUUGUUGGAUCGUUGGAAAUAUUAUGUGAAUUGUUUAGAAUGUUCUUGAAUGUUGUUAGUAUGGGUUUGGGUUAGUAUUUGAAUGUAUAGGCGUUGAUGUUGGCUUGAAGGUAAGCCGUUGAAUUGAAUAUUUGGAAAGUUGUCGAAUGAUGAAAAAGAGAGUAUUAAUGUAAUAUUGUCUUUCGGAUUGGUUAUUGGAGUUGCUAGGUUGGUUAUUGUGGUUGUUGCUGUUGAUUUUGAGCGAGUUAAAUUCUCGGGAUGGCCUAUUUACAGGGGAAGUGCUGCCGAAUUUUCUGUAGAAUUUUUUGUUAGUUUGGAAUGAAUGGCUUAAGUGCCUAUGUUUAAUAUUGGAUAUUCGUUGGCAUAUUUGUAGACCUUGGGGAGCCCGAGGCGUAGAUUGGAAUUUACUUUAGAUUGGAUAUCUUGGAGUGCGUACGAGGUACCGACGACAGGUUUGCUGAUCCGUCCGUCUAGGAUAUCUUUUCUGCCAUUUGGAGCGCUCUUUUAUUCAGAGCCCAUCUUUUGGUACAGUCUGUCACUACUGUAUAUAUAUAUUCUCGUUCAUGGGUACGGCGGGGCCCUGUCCCGUUAUAUGAUUCCGUCGGUCUGUUUAGAGGUCUGUAGACAUGUUUGUGGGUUGGGGUCUUUCUGUACGGAUGCGUGUAUAUGUUGUGUUUGGGCGAUCCCAUUCGCCGCGGCGGCCAGUCCGCAUAUGUUUAAAUGUUGCUUUGUUGGCCCUGGGUGGUCAUUGUUGGUAUUA